ACAAAAUAAUUCAUUGAACAAAUGUUUACUGCUCCUCUAUGUUCUAGGCACUGGGACCUCUAUGGUAAACUCUACAGGCAAAGCCUCUACCCUCAAGGAACUUCCAUCUUGAUGACAGAGACUGGCAAUAAACAGAUGAAUACAUGUAAUCUGAUAUAGAGAGGGCAUCAAGUCUCAGACAUCCAGACUGAGACAUGGCAAGUAUCCUUGAGACCACAUUCUAU
rnacentral:lncRNA from 1 species